CCUUAGCUGUCUGUGCAGCAAAACUUUGGGAACUCCUCUGAUACUUGUCAGAAAAAAAGCAGGUCAUAUACCAGAAGAACUACUGCUGCUCUCAGCAGAAGGAAACAACAUGGACUGAAGCCACUUCCUGCUCCUGACUAACUGUAUGGACAUGGGCAAGCUGUGUGAUCUCUGUGAACCUCCUAGUCUUCAUUUCUAAAAUGGGUGAGGAUAACGACACCAAAAUGAUAGGAUUACGUUGAGAAUUACAAACAAUAAUAUAUAUUUUGUUAGCUGAUAGUGAC
rnacentral:lncRNA from 1 species